UGUAAGGACAGAAGAAUGUUUUGAAUAUAUGAACCAUUUGCUCGAAAAUACAUCCUAAAGCCAAUUAUCUAUCUAUAAAUAUUGUACUCUUUGUAAUUUAUAUAUGAAUUAUUAAUAAACAAAAAUUAUUUUUGGCAAGUUCAUCAUAAAUGUGUAUCUUUCUUUGAACUCUUGUGUUAUAAUAAAAUCCUUAUAACUAUAAU
rnacentral:lncRNA from 1 species